GGAGUUCUAAUGUUAAACAGGACUAGACGCUUUACUACCUAAAAAAGAGGCUAUUGUUUAGCAGUGAAAGUGACUAAUCUAUGAGAGCUGCCAAAAACGUCAGGAGCCAAGAGCAUUAAAAACACUAGAUGCUGUGAACAAAAAGGUCUGCUUUCUGAUUGCACCAUAAUAAGACAAGCUAAUUAAGUAUGCUGAUGAGAUGUUCACCCCCUGAUAACGAUAAAAGCAAGAAAGAGCCAUGGAAGGGAGGCCUGGACCUGCUCUGCAACUUCCCUGCCCAGGUUCCCUCCAUCUCCUCCACGCGGAGGAGCAGGAAACACAGGCAACUUCCCAACUCAAAGUAAACAAAACCAAUACCUACCCUGCCUUCUUGGAAUUUACGAUCUAAGGCAGCAUCGAUGUGAAGGGGCAUGUAAGGCUUAUGGACAACUAAACAAGACCUUCCUAUUAAAACUGGAACCCAUUAAAGAAAAAGGAUUUGCUAUCUGCAGGGAAAGCAUUCUUUGGAAGGCCUUCCUGUUGAUUCUGAAUCUCAAAGUUGGUGAAUGAGAAGAGCAGGUGGGACCCUCUUCACUGUCAUCUGAGGACCAACCCUGUGCAGCGGGCAGGAUGCUGAGUCCAGGAGGAAUGAGAAGUCUCCCAUUAGUGGGAGGACCAGGUCUGUAACACACACACAGAUGUGCACACACACAGACACAGUUAAACACAUGAGGAAGUAUUAGAAGGUGCUGGGGGAGGGAGGAGUCAGGUGAGCCCACAGGAGGUGGUAUUGGAGGUGGUCUUGAAGGAUGAGCGGGGGCCCAGGAACGAGGGAGGAUCAAGACUUCUGGUGACAAAUAUCGAGGAGUGGACUGAGACCAUGGGGACUGGAGGGCUCGUGCAGGAAAGGGCGGGAACGGCACUGGCUGGGAGCAGUUCACGGGGCAAUCAAAGGACCCUGGUCGGCUUCCUUUUCCAAGAAAAUAGCUCAUAGCUUGACAGAGGCAGGAUUAGAAGAGGCCAGCCUAGAGUCCGCAGUCCAGGUCUACAGAGAUGACACGGGAGUCGAGCAAAUGGCA
rnacentral:lncRNA from 1 species